rnacentral:rRNA from 1 species
UACGGGGGGGGGGUAAGCGUUGUUCGGAAUUACUGGGCGUAAAGGGCUCGUAGGCGGCCAACUAAGUCAGACGUGAAAUCCCUCAGCUUAACUGGGGAACUGCGUCUGAUACUGGAUGGCUUGGAUUCGGGAGAGGAAUGCGGAAUUCCAGGUGUAGCGGUGAAAUGCGUAGAUAUCUGGAGGAACACCGGUGGCGAAGGCGGCAUUCUGGACCGAUAUUGACGCUGAGGAGCGAAAGCCAGGGGGAGCAAACGGGG